CUUUGGCAGAAUCUGAAAGGGUCGAACUGCAGGGGUGUUUUUGCGAUUGUGGCCUUCUAUAUUACCACCCACGCCUCCCCUUUGGUUUCCUGAGCCUAGAACUCAGAGGAAACAAGGUGAGUGAGUCUUCUUUGCCUCUCCAUGGAUUUGAUCUUUUUUUUUCUUGAUUUUUAUGUGGUUUUUGCUCUCUUUUGUCUUCUAGAGCAUUUUCCACCAUUGUUGAAGCUUGGAUCUUGGGUUUGAGGCUUGUU
rnacentral:lncRNA from 1 species